rnacentral:rRNA from 1 species
GGAAACCCUGAUCCAGCAAUGCCGCGUGUGCGAACAAGGCCUUCGGGUUGUAAAGCACUUUUGUUUGGAAAGAAAUCGUUUUUGCUAAUACCAAAGACGGAUGACGGUACCAAUCGAAUAAGCACCGGCUAACUACGUGCCAGCAGCCGCGGUAAUUAAA